GCGGGCCAUCGUAGUCUAGACGUAUGGCUGCAGCUUGACGAAGAGCCUGUCGCCCACAAAGAAGGUGUGGAGCGUGCGCUUCUUGUCCUCUUGGGCUUUCAUGAUACUAGGGGCUCGAUGAAGGUGUUCGGAGAGAACUUGUUGCAUGUGUUUGCGUUCUUUGAGCCAUUUCUUGAAUGGGGGAAGUUUGCAGGUGGAAGGUGCUUCAAUUUGUUGGAAAUAUGCCCUAGAGGCAAUAAUAAAAUAGUUAUUAUUAUAUUUACUUGUUCAUGAUAAUCGUUCAUUAUCCAUGCUAUAAUUGUAUUGAAUGGGAACUCAAAUACAUGUGUGGAUACAUAGACAACACAUUGUCCCUAGUGAGCCUUUAAUGGACUAGCUCAUUGAUCAAAGAUGGUCAAGGUUUCCUGAUCAUAGACAAGAGUUUUCAUUUGAUAACGUGAUCACAUCAUUAGGAGAAUGAUGUGAUGGACAAGACCCAAACUAUGAAUGUAGCAUAUGAUCGUGUCAGUUUAUUCCUAUUAUUUUCUGCAUGUCAA
rnacentral:lncRNA from 1 species